GAAACAUGUCUAGCUUGCUAGAUGAUGUCGAGUGGCGGACGGGUGAGUAAUGCUUGGGAACUUGCCUUUGCGAGGGGGAUAACAGUUGGAAACGACUGCUAAUACCGCAUAAUGUCUUCGGACCAAACGGGGCUUCGGCUCCGGCGCAAAGAGAGGCCCAAGUGAGAUUAGCUAGUUGGUGAGGUAAAGGCUCACCAAGGCAACGAUCUCUAGCUGUUCUGAGAGGAAGAUCAGCCACACUGGGACUGAGACACGGCCCAGACUCCUACGGGAGGCAGCAGUGGGGAAUAUUGCACAAUGGGGGAAACCCUGAUGCAGCCAUGCCGCGUGUGUGAAGAAGGCCUUCGGGUUGUAAAGCACUUUCAGUUGUGAGGAAAAGUUAGUAGUUAAUACCUGCUAGCCGUGACGUUAACAACAGAAGAAGCACCGGCUAACUCCGUGCCAGCAGCCGCGGUAAUACGGAGGGUGCGAGCGUUAAUCGGAAUUACUGGGCGUAAAGCGCACGCAGGCGGUUUGUUAAGCUAGAUGUGAAAGCCCCGGGCUCAACCUGGGACGGUCAUUUAGAACUGGCAGACUAGAGUCUUGGAGAGGGGAGUGGAAUUCCAGGUGUAGCGGUGAAAUGCGUAGAUAUCUGGAGGAACAUCAGUGGCGAAGGCGACUCCCUGGCCAAAGACUGACGCUCAUGUGCGAAAGUGUGGGUAGCGAACAGGAUUAGAUACCCUGGUAGUCCACACCGUAAACGCUGUCUACUAGCUGUUUGUGACUUUAAGUCGUGAGUAGCGAAGCUAACGCGAUAAGUAGACCGCCUGGGGAGUACGGCCGCAAGGUUAAAACUCAAAUGAAUUGACGGGGGCCCGCACAAGCGGUGGAGCAUGUGGUUUAAUUCGAUGCAACGCGAAGAACCUUACCUACACUUGACAUGUUGAGAAGUUACCAGAGAUGGUUUCGUGCCUUCGGGAA
rnacentral:rRNA from 2 species